rnacentral:rRNA from 1 species
GUGGCGUGGUUUGGGAUGGAGUGAGUGGACAGAAGGGAAGGAGGGCGGGCGGCGGAGGGGGAAAGAGAGAGAGGGACUAGGUCUAGCUGCGACGGAGGGAGGGAGAGAGAGAGAGAGGGGCUAGGUCUAUCUGCGACGGAGGGAGAGAGAGAGAGAGAGAGCGAAGGGCAGCGGCCGCCGCUGCGGGAGGAAGGGAGCGGGGGAGGAGGAGGGGAGGAGUGCCGCGGAGGUGGUGCGUUGUUUAGGGCCGCUGGGUGGGGCAGAGGCGCUGGCGGAGCCGUUGGUGGAGGCGGCGCGCAGGCUCAGGGUAGGUACAGGCGCGGCCGGGGCAGAGACAGAGGAAAGCACCCUCCACUGGGCGUGGGACGGGGCGCCGCCCCCUCCCCGUCGCCGCCGGAGCACAUCUAGGGUAGCCCUAGGGCAGGCCUAGUGCCGCGCCUGCGUACGGGAUCUGCGGUACUGGGCAGAGGGAGGGGAAGAGAUUAGUCCUUCCUCUCCGGUCCGCGGCCUGUACUUGAACGAGACGGGCCCUGCGGCGAGCGGUAGUUCCGUCCUCCGGCCGUUGUGCCACCACUACUGCGGUCGCAAGUCGCACCUGUUAGGGACGAGCUAAGCCGGUCCGAGCUCUAUGUGGGUAGGGAGCUGAGACGACGAAGAGGGGCUGAAUCUUACUCCGACGAGACCUCCUUCGUCUCCUGAGACCCCUCUUCCGAAGGUAGUUCCUUCGUCUGUUCAUGACGUUCCGGUAGUAGUCCUCCGACAGCGCGCCGCGGUGGACGGACUUCCCGUCGGACGACCGGUAGCGGGAACGUCGGCCCCGACCGAAGUACGAGAGGGGGUUGGACCUGGAGUGGCGGCUGGACCUCUUCGAGGUCCGCUACCGCAAUAAGAACAAACUUCGAUUCGAUCCGAUGACGUCAAGGUCGUUUUUCGUCCCCUCGGCGAGAAAAGAAAGAAGUGAUUAUUUAAGAACAAACUUACGUAUAGGACCCCCACCACUUCGACCCUCGGAAAGGAGGGGUAUUUUUAUGAAACGAGAAGUAAUACUCGUCACGGGAAUAUAUUAAUCGACGAUCCUCACAAAUAUAUGAACUAGUGGUGUGGAGAUAGCAAGACCAAUGAAAACGAAAGAAGAUACAUCAACAGGUCCCGUAUUGCCAAAAUACACACCGAACAAAAACACAAUGGUCGGAUGAAAGAACAUGACUGAAAUGGUAGUCACUGUGUGGAGAACCUCUAAAAACAUAAUGGCUACCGAAUUAUAAAUUUGACAAAUCUAACUAAACUUUAACUUUAGUAUCCCAAGAAAACUUAACAAACAUCAACGAGGUCCAGGAAGACAUCGACACAAAUAUUGACAGAAACAAGGAAAAAACUAUUGUCCUGGUCAAACUGUGCUAACUGAACAGCCUGUCGCUCUAACAGUUCGAACUCUUGAAGGGAAAGUACUUAGCUGGUCCCUCGCACGUAGUGUAUAAACAGUAUCUUAUCAAAAUAAACCGUGAAUGACAAGGACCCUACAUUUCUAUACAUAACGACCUUACUUACCAACAUUAUAUUAUUGUAACGUACAACGAAACUUUUACAUAAUCUCGUCCCGAUCCGGGUUCUAUCGAACACCACACUACACAACAUUACAGUUACCGUAUUAUAAAAAAAACCUAACCUAGUAAAAAAGCCUUGACCCGAUCCGGGUUCAAUAUAACCUGUUAAUAAAAACUC